GCCUGCCUCCCAAGGCCUGUGAAAACAGCACAUUAAAUGUGGCAGCUACUGUAAUUUCAUUACCGCAAGCUGGUACUUAAACUUGAUUGCCAAAUCUUUGUGCUACCCCUGUUGCAAACAAAACUGACAAUGUUUUACAUCUCAGGUGACUUCCUUUCCCUCUUGUUUCCUGGUAUUACUCCUGUGGCUGAGAGGGGAUGCUGGUUGCUAUUGCGUUAGGUACAGUGCUCAGCAAGUUAUGAAUUGUGCCAGUCCAAAUCUGUCAUAAAAUCCAUGUCAGCGCUGGGUUUAGUUGAGAGGAUUUACCCUUCUCAAGUUUUCUUUUCUGCUCAUUCCCUCUGGGGUUUACUUGACUGAUAAACAGCACUGUCAGCCCCACUCUCAGAGAUGUGUCAAGAGUGAGGUGGUGGAAUGAAUUCUUUGACCCCCUGGUUAAAAAGGGGUAGGAAAUGAAAGCCUGGGUCUCCUAUCACAUUGGUUUUUGCACAGAUGUAACUUCUUUGACUUGAGGGGCAUGACGCCUGAUUUACACAGGGGUGUGUGACAGGAGACUCAGGCCUUGUGCUUGGAAACCAUGUUUAAACUCAGUUUAAAGCCCUGUAGCCUAUUAGUCUGCAGGAAUGGGUUCUAGCCCUGUUAAAAGUUGGCACUAUGGACAGACUGUAACUGUGCCCCCAUAAUCAUCUAUAGAUUUUGGCAGCACAGGGUUUCAAAGGAGUUAGGUCAUCAUGAUUAGGGCCCUACCAAAUUCAUGGUCCAUUUUGGUCAAUUUCACAGCCAUAGGCUUUUAAAAAUCCUCAAUUUCAUGGUUUCAGAUAUUUACAUCUGAAAUGUACGGUGUUAUAACCAUGGGGGUCCUGACCAAAAGAGGGUUGUAGGGGGGUGGGGCACAAUAUUGCCACCCCUACGUCUGUGCUGCUGCUGAUGAUGAUGGCGGCACUGCCUUCCGAGCUGAGCAGCAGGCAGUGCAGAUUAGAGGGGUGCAUGGUAUGGGGAGGAUCACUUUUUGGGCAGGGGCAGGGACAGCUUUACAGGUGAGCAACUACCCAGGGUCCUGUGGUCUCCCCCUCUCCCCACCACAGCCGCCCAAGGCCUCUUCAACCCCCGAGCUGAGCGGGGUAGAAGUGUGGUGGGGGUGGCAGUACAGGGACUAGCCACAGAGAAUCUUGCAGCUGAGGGAGGUUCCCAGAGAGCAGCCCCUGUAGGAGAAGAUGAAGUCCCAUCCCUCCCAACCCUGCCAGGACUAGCAGCUGGAGCCCAGCACAUGGUAGGAGCCCUGGCUGGGGGACCCCCAGUCCUGCCUCUCCCCAGCCGAUUUCACAGUGGAGACCAGAUUUCACGGUCCGUGACACGUUUUUCACAGCCGUGAAUUUGGUAGGUCUCUAUUCAUGAUUAAGUCCCCUCUAUACGACCAUGUAUGUUGUAACCAGGUACCCAGACUCAAUUAUAGCUGCAGCAUAGCUGGUGCCGGUGAGCUAUUUCUAACAGGUUUGACUACUGCUGAGGCUAGCCCAGGUUUUGAAAACAUGAUUCUAACAGUCCAGCCCUACACACACUGAGUGGGCAAGCCAUGCUGUAACCCAGUUUAGCUGGAACUAUGUUUAAACACAACCUCCAGACGCAGCUCACAGCCCAGGCUUGACAGGGCCUGUGUUUCAUCCGCAGAGCUCACAAUGCUCCAGCCUCGCACUCUGGCCUGUGAACUUCAGCCGGCAUUGGGAGUCAGUGGAAUCUCAUGGAAAGAAAUUCGUCCCCCUGACUCUAAAUAGUGUCUCCUAUAGCUGCUAGAGUAAGGUAACCUGGGUAGUGCACCCAGGGAUGUUACCCACAGCCUGAUGGGCUUUCCUUUGCAUAAUUAAAUCUGAGAAGGGAGUGGGAGGGGUGCUUGGCAGACAGAGGGAGCUGUCAGCAUGUCCUGCCAGUGAAAAGAAGGGACUGAAAUGAAAAAGUUCCUUCUGGCAUGUGUAAUCAAAAACCAAUCACUGCUGUAUAUAACUCGCUGUUGUUUCUGUGCAAGUGUGAGCCAGGGGAGUGCAGGCUGCUUGGCUAAAGGACCAAGCCCCCGCCCCCAACUGUCUCACACUGGGAGGGAAGUGUGUGGAGGGGAGGAUUAAUCCACUGUCGCUGUGGAUUAAUACUGACAGGAGGGCUGGACUGCGACAAGAUAGAUGACAGGGUUACACGGCAAUGCGUGAGAACCCUGCCCCUUUCAAGCUAGCACUGUUUUCCUUGCGUGACUGCUUUCCUUCUCUCCUCCAGCCGCUUCCACCUUGUGACCGGCUCCCUUAACUCAUUCUUUUCCCUCCAUGGGUGAGAGUGUGCACGGAGACGGGAGGAGUCAGGGGGCAAAAGGGGAAACGUGGCCCAGGGUUUAGAAGUGGAACAAGAUGCGAGACGCCUGCUUUGUUCGGAGGGCAGCUUCUUUUACAAGAGUGGUUUGACAGGCAAUGUGUCAUGCCAUUCCGGUCUAGGCUGCAGUGAUGAUGCUAUCUGUUGCUACACCAGAAACCUUAGACACUACCUCACUAGUGACAAAUAAGAACAUCUCUGAACACUGGAAAACAUACUGGGACAGAGGUGCUGGUUCUAACAAGAAGUUAAUUCCACUGAAGCAAGUCCUAGUGAAUAGCUGUUGUUUUGAAUGGAAUCAGUACACAGUUGCUAUGGCCCUCUCUAUAUGAAGGAAAAGGAAGGGGGACAGUUUUCUGCCAUCAGUACAAAGAGACAGGAAUUUACAGGAUAAAAGUAUAUUAAUGUUACUGAAGGGA